UUUUAUUUUAUUUUCUUUUAGUCUCCGGCGCCUACUUUCCUCUGUCCCAGUCGAGACUGUCCGCUGCUAACUCUGGAGUUUUUGUAGGAAGAAAACAGGAGGGAGUCCGGCCCCCUUUUUCAGUGACCGGUGUAAGUUCUGUUAUCUCACAGUCUUUCCCCACAACAAAACUCCGUUUCCGAUUCCAGUCUGACCAAUAGCCACGAAGCUGUAGGACAGUGGAGCACAACAUCCAUGCAGCGGGGGCCAAAUCCCACCUUGCAGAUUCAGAGGCUGUAAUACACACAAACACACAGAAAGGGACAAUACUUCCAUAUGUUAGCCUAAUGAGGCCAUCCCAUAGACCGUUUGGUCCCAAUUUUAACCCUCAAAGCUAAUUCAUACAAUAUAUAUUGAACAUUUAAGAACAUGUCAUCUGCAGUGUAGCCCUACACAGAAAUCUGUGCAUUUGCCAACCCACUGUAUUGCUUUGUUUAGAAAUAAACAAGAACAAUAAAAACCCA